AUAAAUAUGCCACUGCUCAAUAACAUGUGCGGCCAAUUUAUAUAUAUAUAUAUAUAUAUAUAUAAUUUUAAAAAAUAAUAUAUAUAUAUAUAUAUAUAUAUAUAUAUAUAAAUUGGCGCACAUGUUAUUGAGCAGUGGAGUGUUUUG